rnacentral:rRNA from 1 species
CGCAUGGUGUGUUGGGAAAGCCUUUGCGGCAUGGGAUGGGGUCGCGUCCUAUCAGCUUGAUGGCGGGGUAACGGCCCACCAUGGCUUCGACGGGUAGCCGGCCUGAGAGGGCGACCGGCCACAUUGGGACUGAGAUACGGCCCAGACUCCUACGGGAGGCAGCAGUGGGGAAUAUUGCACAAUGGGCGCAAGCCUGAUGCAGCGACGCCGCGUGAGGGAUGGAGGCCUUCGGGUUGUAAACCUCUUUUGUUAGGGAGCAAGGCAUUUUGUGUUGAGUGUACCUUUCGAAUAAGCACCGGCUAACUACGUGCCAGCAGCCGCGGUAAUACGUAGGGUGCAAGCGUUAUCCGGAAUUAUUGGGCGUAAAGGGCUCGUAGGCGGUUCGUCGCGUCCGGUGUGAAAGUCCAUCGCUUAACGGUGGAUCCGCGCCGGGUACGGGCGGGCUUGAGUGCGGUAGGGGAGACUGGAAUUCCCGGUGUAACGGUGGAAUGUGUAGAUAU